rnacentral:rRNA from 1 species
AGAGUUUGAUCCUGGCUCAGGACGAACGCUGGCGGCGUGCUUAACACAUGCAAGUCGAGCGAUGAAACCCUUCGGGGUGGAUUAGCGGCGGACGGGUGAGUAACACGUGGGUAACCUGCCUCAAAGAGGGGGAUAGCCUCCCGAAAGGGAGAUUAAUACCACAUAAUAUCAUGUUUUCGCAUGAAGAUAUGAUUAAAGGAGCAAUCCGCUUUGAGAUGGACCCGCGGCGCAUUAGCUAGUUGGUGAGGUAACGGCUCACCAAGGCCACGAUGCGUAGCCGACCUGAGAGGGUGAUCGGCCACAUUGGAACUGAGACACGGUCCAGACUCCUACGGGAGGCAGCAGUGGGGAAUAUUGCACAAUGGGCGAAAGCCUGAUGCAGCAACGCCGCGUGAGUGAUGACGGCCUUCGGGUUGUAAAGCUCUGUCUUUGGGGACGAUAAUGACGGUACCCAAGGAGGAAGCCACGGCUAACUACGUGCCAGCAGCCGCGGUAAUACGUAGGUGGCAAGCGUUGUCCGGAUUUACUGGGCGUAAAGGAUGCGUAGGCGGAUAUUUAAGUGAGAUGUGAAAUUCCCGGGCUUAACUUGGGAGCUGCAUUUCAAACUGGAUAUCUAGAGUGUGGGAGAGGAGAAUGGAAUUCCUAGUGUAGCGGUGAAAUGCGUAGAGAUUAGGAAGAACACCAGUGGCGAAGGCGAUUCUCUGGACCAUAACUGACGCUGAGGCAUGAAAGCGUGGGUAGCAAACAGGAUUAGAUACCCUGGUAGUCCACGCCGUAAACGAUGAGUACUAGGUGUAGG